GGGGUUGCGUCGGGGAACGGGCUCCCGCCUCUGGUUCCCUCUGCCCGUGGCGCGCUCCUCUUCCUUCCUGGAGGCAGAAUAAAUCAAAUCAGUGUUGACUACCGCCGGGACACGAGGACACGGUGGAUCGACCUCCGAGGGUUCUCUCACCUCUUCACCGACUGCGGCUCUUGGUAAGUAUGGGUUUCCUUCCUUACCGUUCCUUUAACACUCACACGGGUUCUCUCUACUCCUCCACAGAUAACUACUGGGGACACAAAGGCACUGUGAAUCGGUUUCCAAUGGUUUCUCUCACCUCGUCGCUGACUACAGCUUCUGAGGACUCUGCGCUGACUACCGCUUUGGAUGACUGCUGGGACACAAAGGCAC